AAUGUAUGAUCUGAAAGGAUGAUAAUAAAGGUGUGUAAGUUGAGUGAUAGCGUGGGGUGUGGCAACAACAGCUACACAGCUGAGCUGGGUCUAGGGUAGGGGUGGCCGAGGCAGGCAGCAGCAGCAGCAGCAGCAGCAGUUGUAUUCCACUAGUGUCUUGGUAGUGUGCGUCUGCGUGUGAGUGAGUGUGUUGGGAAGCCUAACACAUUAUGUCCCUCUCCUCAUCAAUGGGGAGAGACAGCAGACGGAGUGAGAGACGUGUAACACACAGAGGAACAGCGAGAUACAGUGGUGGCAAGGAAGGCUGGCAGAGGGACGCUACUCACAGUAAACAAAGGAAGGUGAAGAGCACUGACUGGUAAUGUUGUAGAAGGAAUUGAAUGAUGAAGGAAAACGAUACAGAAUAAUGGAAAGUAGCGAACUGCGUAAACAAAUAGUGUAAAACUAUGGAAAAAAACACGGUGAUGAGAGAAGACGGUGUUUUACUAUGAAAGAAAAUAGCACAGAACAAUCAAAUAAACCAGCGUGAAAGGAUGAAAGAAAAUGAAGAACCAUGAAAGAAAAGAAUGUAGAUCCAAGAGAGAGAGAGAGAGAGAGAGAGAGAGAGAGAGAGCACAGGUUUAGAACAAUGAAAGCCAAUGAAGGUUGAGGCAGCUUGGACGAGGUGAAAGAAGCAGUACCUUGGACGACCCUGUGAUAACCUGACACAGUUAUCAUCACGCAUUAAGCCGAGAUGAAGACCAAGAAGUUAAUAACCUUGGAGAAGUACAGUGUAGUGGCAGUGAGAGCCAAGGUCUCGGUGGAGGUGGAGCAGCGAAAACGUCUUGGCACUUGGGCCAAACGGGUCCUUGCCUUUGAGGGAGC